CGCUCUCCCUCCAUGAGAGCAAGGGAUCAAUAACUUUCACGGAAGUCCCGCUUCUGCGGUACCAUGGCGCUGCCAUGCCCAUGGCACUACUAUCCGUCGCCUCGCAUCUGCAUCCCUUUUCUUCAUGAUCAGUAGAUAUGUCUCCGUGACACUCCUCUGAGUCCACCUCUAUUCUAACUGAUGCUUGAUUUUGGGUAGCUAAGUCCCUCUGGACUCGUCGUCGCUUCCUCGCCCCUUUCGACCCCCUGCUUCAACACCUCUGUGUUCUCCAAGCAGUCUGUUUGGUUGAUGGAAAGACAGACUGCAACUCCCAUGCAUGGCCUCUGCCAUCACGUUAUAGGGUUUGCACCGAUUCUGUUCUCCUUAGCUUCCUUGGUAGCAACGUUCGCUUACUCGACCUUGUCCUCUGACUUGCCGGGCUCCCUUAAACGAAUAUGAGCUCUGGAGCAGUCCAACUCUCCAGCUGCUUCGAUCAUACCUCUGCAUGAUCAAGUCCCUCCCAUGGAACUCACUGGUACUUGCAUUCG
rnacentral:lncRNA from 1 species